UGCGAUUAAAGCUCGUAGUUGAAUGUCUGGGUGGGUGGCGCCGGUGUGGUGUGCAAACGCCGCAGCUGUGUGCCAUUUCUGCCCUGUUAACUUUUGUGGGGUGCGGUGUGGCGGUCUUAGUUGGUCGUUGUGUCGUGAUUUCCUCCCUGCAUCGAUUACUGUGAACAAAUUAGAGUGUUCAAAGCAAGCUGUAGCGCUUGAAUACAUUAGCAUGGAAUAAUGACAUAGGACUUUGGUGCUAUUUCGUUGGUUGUGUACCAAGGUAAUGAUUAAUAGGGAUAGUUGGGGGUAUUCAUAUUUGAUUGUCAGAGGUGAAAUUCUUGGAUUUAUUAAAGAUGAACAAGUGCGAAAGCAUUUACCAAGGAUGUUUUCAUUAAUCAAGAACGAAAGUCAGGGGAUCGAAGAGGAUUAGAUACCCUCGUAGUCUUGACCAUAAACUAUGCCGACUCAGGAUUGGCGGGGCAAAACUAGCGAUAGUAUGACUCCGUCAGCACUGUGUGAGAAAUCAAAGUCUUUGGGUUUUUGGGGAAGUAUGGUCGCAAGGCUGAAACUUAAAGGAAUUGACGGAAGGGCACCACCAGGAGUGGAGCCUGCGGCUUAAUUUGACUCAACACGGGGAAACUUACCAGGUCCAGACAUAGUAAGGAUUGACAGAUUGAGAGCUCUUUCU
rnacentral:rRNA from 1 species